UGUCGCCAUUAUAGUUGCGCAGGCACUUUGGUGACUCUAGAGAAUCUCGGGCCAAUCGCACAUCCCCGUGACGGCGACGACGCGUUCGUCAUACCAUGGUGACCAUGGGUAACGGGGAAUCAGGGUUCGAUUCCGGAGAGGGAGUCUGAGAAACGGCUACCACAUCCAAGGAAGGCAGCAGGCGCGCAAAUUACCCACUCCCGACGCGGGGAGGUAGUGACGACA